CCUACGGGUGGCAGCAGUGGGGGAUAUUGGACAAUGGGCGCAAGCCUGACCCAGCAACGCCGCGUGAGGGAAGAAGGCUUUCGGGUUGUAAACUUCUUUUCUCAGGGACGAAGCAAGUGACGGUACCUGAGGAAUACGCCACGGCUAACUACGGGCCAGCAGCCGCGGUAAUACGUAGGUGGCAAGCGUUAUCCGGAUUUACUGGGUGUAAGGGGGGUGUCGGCGGGGAAGCAAGUCAGGAGUGAAAACCAUGGGCUCAACCGGUGGACUGCAUUUGAAACUGCGUUGCUUGAGUACUGGAGAGGCAGACGGAAUUCCUAGUGUAGCGGUGAAAUGCGUAGAUAUUAGGAGGAACACCAGUGGCGAAGGCGGUCUGCUGGACAGCAACUGACGCUGAGGCGCGAAAGCGUGGGGAGCAAACAGGAUUAGAUACCCCGGUAGUC
rnacentral:rRNA from 1 species